rnacentral:tRNA from 2 species
CAAGGAAUAGUUUAACUAGAAUUUCAGCUUUGGGUGUUGAUGGUGAGGUUUGAGGCCUCUUCCUUGA